UACGUAGGUGGCAAGCGUUGUCCGGAUUUAUUGGGUUUAAAGGGUGCGUAGGCGGUUCUAUAAGUCAGUGGUGAAAUACGGCAGCUCAACUGUCGAGGUGCCAUUGAUACUGUAGAACUUGAGUACAGACGAGGUAGGCGGAAUUGACGGUGUAGCGGUGAAAUGCUUAGAUAUCGUCAAGAACACCGGUAGCGAAGGCAGCUUACUAGACUGUAACUGACGCUGAGGCACGAAAGUGUGGGGAUCAAACAGG
rnacentral:rRNA from 1 species